CAUAUCAAUAAGCGGAGGAAAAGAAACCAACAGGGAUUACCUCAGUAACGGCGAGUGAAGCGGUAAGAGCUCAAAUUUGAAAGCUGGCUCCUUCGGGGUCCGCAUUGUAAUUUGCAGAGGAUGUUUCGGGAGCAGCCCCCAUCUAAGUGUCCUGGAACGGACCGUCAUAGAGGGUGAGAAUCCCGUAUGGGAUGGGGUGUCUGCGCCCAUGUGAAACUCCUUCGACGAGUCGAGUUGUUUGGGAAUGCAGCUCUAAAUGGGUGGUAAAUUUCAUCUAAAGCUAAAUAUUGGCCGGAGACCGAUAGCGCACAAGUAGAGUGAUCGAAAGAUGAAAAGCACUUUGAAAAGAGAGUUAAAAAGCACGUGAAAUUGUUGAAAGGGAAGCGCUUGCGAUCAGACUCGCCUUGGGGGUUCAGCCGGCAUUCGUGCCGGUGUACUUCCCCCAGGGCGGGCCAGCGUCGGUUUGGGUGGCUGGUCAAAGGCCCUUGGAAUGUAACGCCUCUCGGGGCGUCUUAUAGCCAAGGGUGCCAUGCAGCCUACCUGGACCGAGGAACGCGCUUCGGCUCGGACGCUGGCAUAAUGGUCGUAAGCGACCCGUCUUGAAACACGGACCA
rnacentral:rRNA from 1 species